rnacentral:rRNA from 1 species
AGAGUUUGAUCCUGGCUCAGGAUGAACGCUGGCGGCGUGCCUAAUACAUGCAAGUCGAACGGACAUGCAGCAAUGUGUGUUAGUGGCGACCGGGUGCGUAACACGUAGCUAACCUGCCCCUCAGCGGGGAACAACUGUUGGAAACGACAGCUAAUACCGCAUGAUGUCGGAGAGAACAAAUAUUUCCGACUAAACUUACGGGGUUGAGGGAGGGGGCUGCGGCCCAUCAGGUAGUUGGAGAGGUAAAAGCUCACCAAGCCAAUGACGGGUAGGGGACCUGAGAGGGUGGUCCCCCACACUGGGACUGACAACGGCCCAGACUCCUACGGGAGGCAGCAGUAAGGGAUAUUGCGCAAUGGGCGAAAGCCUGACGCAGCAACGCCGCGUGGAGGAUGAAGGCCUUCGGGUCGUAAACUUCUUUUAGCAGGGACGAGGAAGGACGGUACCUGCGGAAUCAGUCACGGCUAACUACGUGCCAGCAGCCGCGGUAAAACGUAGGUGGCAAGCGUUAUCCGGAUUUACUGGGCGUAAAGGGUGUGCAGGCGGGGUUGCAAGUGGUGUAUGAAAUCUCCAGGCUUANCCUGGAGGGGUUAUGCCAGACUGCAACUCUAGAGGACGAGAGAGGGGGGUGGAAUUCCGGGUGUAGUGGUGAAAUGCGUAGAGAUCCGGAGGAACCCAGAGG